rnacentral:rRNA from 1 species
UACAGAGGGUGCGAGCGUUAAUCGGAUUUACUGGGCGUAAAGCGUGUGUAGGUGGCUUCCUAAGUCGGUUGUGAAAUCCCUGGGCUCAAUCUGGGAAUUGCAGUCGAUAUUGGAAAGUUCGAGUUCGGUAGAGGAUGGCGGAAUUCCCGGUGUAGCGGUGAAAUGCGUAGAGAUCGGUAGGAACACCCGUGGCGAAGGCGGUCUCCUGGGGCCUUCUUGGACGCUGAGGCGCGAAAGCUGGGGAGCGAACGGG